GAGCGCCGUAGCAAUACGGAGCGGCAGACGGGAGAGUAACACGUGGGAACGUGCCCUUCAGUUCGGAACAACCCCAGGGAAACUUGGGCUAAUACCGGAUACGUCCGUAAGGAGAAAGAUUUAUCGCUGAAGGAUCGGCCCGCGUCUGAUUAGCUCGUUGGUGAGGUAACGGCUCACCAAGGCGACGAUCAGUAGCUGGUCUGAGAGGAUGAUCAGCCACAUUGGGACUGAGACACGGCCCAAACUCCUACGGGAGGCAGCAGUGGGGAAUAUUGGACAAUGGGCGCAAGCCUGAUCCAGCCAUGCCGCGUGAGUGAUGAAGGCCCUAGGGUUGUAAAGCUCUUUUGUGCGGGAAGAUAAUGACGGUACCGCAAGAAUAAGCCCCGGCUAACUUCGUG
rnacentral:rRNA from 1 species